GUUGUAUGGUUAAGUGACUAAGCGUACACGGUGGAUGCCUUGGCAGUCAGAGGCGAUGAAAGGCGUAAUAACUUGCGAUAAGCCCAGAUUAGGUAGUAAUAACCUUUUGAGUCUGGGAUUCCUGAAUGGGGAAACCCACUUGCAUAAGCAAGUAUCUUGUUGUGAAUACAUAGCAACAGGAGGCAAACCGGGGGAACUGAAACAUCUAAGUACCCCGAGGAAGAGAAAUCAACCGAGAUUCCGAAAGUAGCGGCGAGCGAAAUUGGAUUAGCCCUUAAGCUUUUAAUGAGACAGAUGAAGGCUCUGGAAAGUGCCGCAGUAAAGGGUGAUAGCCCCGUAAUCGACAUCUCAUAAUCAGUGAAAACGAG
rnacentral:rRNA from 1 species